rnacentral:ncRNA from 12 species
AUCAUCAGCUAAAGGGCAAACCUUUUAAUAGCUUUUUUAGGCUAUCAUGCAGAACUAAAACUGCAUAAGUGAUGAUGUGUACAUAGAAGCAUUAGGCGCUAUAUAAUGUAGUAAUUUAGUUUUUUUGACUUCUUUACUUGCAUACACAAAGAGUAAAUAAAUUUAGACAAACGUCAGUAAGGAUAGCGCACUUAUUGGCGUUU